rnacentral:rRNA from 1 species
GGGGGGGGCCAAGGGUUUCGGAUUAUUGGGCGUAAGAGCUCGUAGGCGGUUUGUCGCGUCUGCUGUGAAAGCCCGGGGCUCAAACCGGGUCUGCAGUGGGUACGGGCAGACUAGAGUGCAGUAGGGGAGACUGGAAUUCCUGGUGUAGCGGUGAAAUGCGCAGAUAUCAGGAGGAACACCGAUGGCGAAGGCAGGUCUCUGGGCUGUUCUUGACGCUGAGGAGCGAAAGCAUGGGGAGCGAACAGGAUUAGAUACCCUGGUAGUCCAUGCCGUAAACGUUGGGCACUAGGUGUGGGGGACAUUCCACGUUCUCCGCGCCGUACCUAACGCAUUAAGUGCCCCGCCUGGGGAGUACGGCCG